rnacentral:rRNA from 1 species
AACGAACGCUGGCGGCAUGCCUAACACAUACAAGUCGAACGAGACCUUCGGGUCUAGUGGCGCACGGGUGCGUAACGCGUGGGAACCUGCCCUUAGGUUCGGAAUAACUCCCCGAAAGGGGUGCUAAUACCGGAUAAUCUCUUCGGACCAAAGAUUUAUCGCCUUUGGAUGGGCCCGCGUUGGAUUAGCUAGUUGGUAGUGUAAAAGCCUACCAAGGCGACGAUCCAUAGCUGGUCGGAGAGGAUGAUCAGCCACACUGGGACUGAGACACGGCCCAGACUCCUACGCGAGGCAGCAGUGGGUAAUAUUGGACAAUGGGCGAAAGCCUGAUCAAGCAAUGCCGCGUGAGUGAUGAAGGCGUUAGGGUUGUAAAGCUCUUUUACCCGGGAUGAUAAUGACAGUACCGGGAGAAUAAGCACCGGCUAACUACGUG